CCACCUCUCGUUUCCCCUUCCUACUCUCCCGAUUCAGAUCGGGAUCCCUCCUCCACCAUCGGCUCCCUCCUAUGUACCCGGCUGCCGCACCCCACCUUCUCUCCCUUCCAUAUCCGACGAGGACACCCCCUGGACGCCCUCGUCUUCGCCCUUUGCCUUCAUCUCCCUCUACCGCCAACCAACGCCGUGAUCCUCUCCCCACCGCCACCGACAGGUGCCGAGCAUCUCGACUUCGAUGGAUCUUGGCCGGGAAGUGGUGGCCUCAAGCUCGACUCCAUCCCGGCGACGACGGCGACGUGCUCACUGACGCCGCCGCCGCCCCUGUCCUCCUCUCCCCCAGCCCUCCUCUACAUACUCCUCCUAAACCGUGUCCCCGUCAGCCAAGUCCACUCCCCGGCGUGGUCCAUCUCAGUCGUGACGGUGAUGGCCAUCGUCCAAUAGCAGCCGCCAGAAUUGUCGUCCAGUGCGCAGCAGGGGCGUGGUUUACGCUGUGGUGAGCACUGGUGCGGCACCGAUGGAGGAUUUGGCCUGCAAGGAGAGGAAGAGGAUAAUGGAGUUGAUCGAGAGCCAAGGAAUGCCGCCCGGAUCGCACCUGAAUGAAGUUUGAAGUUGCAAUGAAGGGACAGAAGGUCGUCCGCCCACGCUUGCACCCACCUACCCACAAACAAUCUAUAUUGUUGAUGUUGCUGAAAAAUAUUCAGUUCUUUGCAGCCGUUUUAGUAAAUUUUCUUUAAAUUGUGCAUAACAUAUCAGUAUAAGGGCUAGAACUAGGAGUUUAGUGACCACUUCCAUGUACACUGCAUCAGCAAUUUUGGUGUGAAUACUGUGUGAUUUGAGCAAUGUGCACUGAUUAAUAUAGGAAGUACGAAGACUUAGCAUUCAAUAGUGGUAAGUAGUAACAAAUUCAAGUGAAGUUAACUAGGACAGUCAGUUAGUUUCAAUCUUUCAGAGAAAUGCGAGUGUCAGGAGUUGGUACAAGGCUAUCAUGAAUAUAGGUUAGUCAGAAUGUUGCCCAGUUAUUGUUAGAGCACAGUUUGUAGGCAUAUUUUCUUUAUUUUGCAUGGCAUUCGGGCUACCAUGCUUUCUUAGAAUUGCACAUUUUCAUCCCAUAAAUCAGUACCAGACUAAUAGCCAUGUGUAAGAUUAACUUGACAUAUGUUUUAUUACUGGUUCUGCUUAGGGCUAUCAUAUAUAGAUCACAUCCUCUUUCCAUAUGCAAAAAUUAUAGGGUUUUUAACAUUUAUCUAUGCUUUCUUGAAAGGUAUGCUCGGAUCACUUCUAUAGAUCUGGAUAGGAAAGUUUGAUUCUUCGUUACUAGAGCCAUACGACCAAUAAAGCUGAUUGGAAAGGCUCUUUCCAAUCAUAAGAUUCAGAUAUAUUAAUGUGGGAAAAAGGCUCUAUUGGCUCGUGCAUGACAUCCAGCCCAAUGGCAUCAUGCUCUGAGGUAGGCAUGGUUAUGUGGCCACGGGGAGAAUGGAGCAAGUAGCGUGUGAAGAGUUUAAGAAAUGGGAACAAGCGACAUGUUAGUUAAUCAAGGCUCUGUAGGGCGGGAGAAGGGUGAGGAGACGAUUAUAUUUUGUUUGGUCUUCUUGCAAAGAGAGGAUGGUUAUGAAGAAAUGACAAGAAACGGAGAGAGAAUGAGUUUUAUUAUCGUACGGAUGGAGAUGACAUGCCAUCUUGUCCAACACAUUUCUGCAUUGAGUCAAUUAUUCGAUUGUUAUGUUUUUCUAUUCCAUGGCAAUGCACUAUCAUUCAACAAGAGAAUGCAAAUUUACCGGUUGUUCAUCCA